UUCCAUGGGCCUUGAUCGACUUAAAUAAGAGGUUGAUAAGUGUCACCUAUUCAUUAGUGCAAAUCCUCUCCAUUAAGGAAGUUCCAUAUGGCUAGUCACACUCUCCAUGGCCUCUUCCAUGUGUAACACAUGUUAAUUUCGUCCUCAUUUUCUAUGCAUCUUCUCUUGGACGUCUAGGGCUUAAAUUGGACAUAAAGAAGCUGAAAUGUAACCCUAGAUGAUUUAUGACAUCAUAUUUUAACCAUAUUCUACCAUUGACCCAAAUACAAGGUCCAAAAUCCUAUUCUACUUGGCCUAAAAUACAAGGCCCGAUUAUUCUAUGCUACUAGGUCCAAUAUAUUGCCCAUGAAAUAAUGUCAUACUUUAUACAAUUAAAGAAACUAAAGCUUGGCCUCAAAAUGAUGUUGACUUGUCUCCCUUGAAGUUAGCUGAGACAUCGUCUUCUUGCAUUCUUCUGACCAAUGCUCUAGUUGAUGUUAGGAUGACUUGGAGUCUUCUUAGAUACAUUUUAUUCCUUUCUUAAUCCUUGAUUUUUCCUCCUUAGUGGACCUUCAAAAGAUAAACAAAAUCCCAAUUAGGCCUAUACAUGCAAGUAAAUGCUUAGACGAACUCUAGGUCUUCAUCCUCCUUAUUUUAUGUGUGUUUAUGGUUGGAUAUUCCAUCAAUUUUGGUAUUUGAUAUAUCUUCUUCUAAUGUGUUGACUCUAUUUUCUAACCAAUUAUUUAAACCCUGAAGUCUAUUGUUAGAAAGGGCGAACCUUUUAGCUUGUUCGUGAGUCUCUUUAAAAGCUUCCAAUAACUGUCUAUUAUUUAAAAAAAAAAAAAUAGAAGGAACAAAACUUACACUACUACUGGAUGACUCAUAUCUAGCCAUUAGACAUAAAUUUACUUCUUUGCCUUCCUUUGAUGAUCAACCUAAUGAGGUUUCAUCAUUUAUCCUUCCAUGUUAUAUACACUUUUUCUGGUUUUGAUCUUCUCAAUUUUCCUAUCAAAACCUUUUUUUCCCUAUUUUGUAUAUUUUGAUAUUGAAUUUUCAUAUGUCCUUGUUUUCCACAACCACAAUAGGUAAAAUUAGAAGAAUUAGAACCAUGUUUUCUAUAAUUGUACCUCAUUUGUGAAGAACCAUUAUCUUUGUUUUUUUUUCUUUAAAAGCUUACCAAAUAUUUUAGUUAGCAUACUUAAGUCAUUGUAUCCAUCUGACUUAUCUUCAUUGUAGCCCUUCUUUUGAACAGUUGAUUUGAGGGCAAUUCUCUUUACCUUUUUAUCAUUCUCUCUUGCUCAUUUAGUCGAUUCAUCUCUAACUCAUGUUCUCUUAAUUUUCCAAAAAAUGUUAUAAUAGUCAUUGUUGUCAAAUCUUUAGAUUUUAAAAUUAUUAUUACCUUAGUUUGGCAACUAUAGUCCAAACACUUUAAGAUCUUGAUGGUUAGUUGUUCAUCUUUAUCAAACACUUUUGUUAAUCCAAUCAUAUGAUUCACAAUGAGAUCAUCUAAUAGGUUAAUCAGUGUGAGGCUGUUUGUCAUCUUAAAAUUGUAGACUUAACUGACUCUUUUGAACACAAUGAGACUGUCUAACGAGUUUAACUCUGAGAAAUUGUCUAACUGAUGUAAGACUGCAGGAUGUCUAACAAAUUUAAUCUCAAUAGAUCAUUUAUGUUUAUAUGUGUAAUAAAACUUAUCAUCUUAUAAUGUUUGAUAUCAUCAAAACCUUCAAUGACGUGCUUAUCUGUAUAAGAUCAUUUAGUGGGGUAUUAGACCGUCUAGCAUUGAUUAGACCAUUCAUUGUCUUAACAACUUUGCUUUAGGUCCCUAGAUUUUGAAUAGUUUUAGUGUUUGGAUGGAAGUUGCUUUGGAGAAAGGAAUUUUAGGCAAAGGAAGAUGUCUAUUUUUUGAUAGAACCUUAGGAUAUAUGUUGUAGAUGUGAAGGUGACACGGUCAUAAUUUCUCGAGUUUUAUGCAGGGUUGUGUAUGUUUGAGUUUAAUAUUAAUAUUAACUGAGUUGAGAUUUGUUUAAUUUGAAUGAAUGAAAUUUGUUGUGUGUUAUUAGUUUUGUGUUAUAAUGCUGCAUUUGAGACAAAUUAGUUCAAGUUGUGAUUAUCUUGAAGCAAAAUAUUCAAUGUUAGUUUAUGAGUUUGAUGUAUGUAUAUAUACAUAUAUCUGUGUGUGUACCUUUUACAAUUUUGUAGAGUUUAAUGUUUAUUAGCAAGUGUUCUUACUGAAAACGAAUUAGGAGAGUUUUUGAGGUGGAGAAAAGACGAUUCGAUGACCCUUUUGAUCUUGAGGUGUUACUUGACCGUUUGGUUCAAGUUUGCAAAAAAUCUCAUGAUCGUUUGAUUCUCGGUCAUGCAUUAUUGGUCUGAUGAUUGUUUGAUCUUGAAGAGUGUUGUUUGACCGUUUGGUCUUUUAUAAAUUCUUUGAAGAUUUGAUCUUGUUUGAUCUAAGUAAAAGUGUCAAUCAUCGUUUGAUAUCAAUUAACAACUUAUAAUAAGUAUCAUUGUAAACAGUUAUGUGUAAAAGGAAACUUUUAUUUUAAAAGAAUAAGCCUCAUUAAAACCUUACUUGGGAAAAUCCCUCCUUAGGGAAAAAAAUGAGUUGGGCUUUUGCCUAGUUGUUUAGGAUUUGUGAACCAGGGAAAAUUUUUACUCGGGCUCCAUGAUGGACACCAAAUGUUCUUAGUGAAAAUAGAUUAAGAGAGUUUUGAGGUGGAGAAGAGAUGACUUAUGUGUGGACCAAGCUCUCGUGUUGACCGAUCACAAAGAGAGAAGGGAGGUCCACCUACAAAAGACUCUUUGACGCUAAUAUAUACUUGCAUAAAGUUUCUAAUUAAACAAUGAAAAGUUUCAAACACUUUAUUAUAUCCUAAACUAUAUAACAAACUUAGAAUUUCAUUUCCUGUUGUCUUAUCUAACAAACUUAAUAAAAUUUAGAUUUUGGUAUGUAGCUACUUAUUCAAAUUUUUUUUUUCAAUAUGUGACUAUUUUUGUGAGGUAACCUUGUUACUAGUGCCAUGUAUUUAGUGGCUAUAUAUGUAAAGAGGCAAGAUCCUGGUUGACUCACUAUAAACAUAUUAGGUAUGUAGGCCGACAAUUAUAAUUGUGCAAACAGGAUUCAGGAGAAAGAUUUAGAGGUAAUAUGUCACAUACGAGGCGAAAGGUCUAUAGCGACACCCACGAGUAUGGAUGGAGUUGUGUCAGGACGACAUUCAAAAUUCGAAGUACAUCCAUAGACAAAUGUUGUCUAUGAGGAAACAUCUCCUGACCGAGAUUAUGCCGACCUUAACAUCUUUACUCAACAUGGGAACACUGGCGAAGAAGAAGUCCACCGUCGGCAUCCACCGAUACCAUGAUAAGUACUCGAUCACCCUCUUAUCCACCACGAGUACCCAUACCAUAAAGGUAACUCACUCUUAGCCUAUUUCACAACCAAAUCUGACGCUCUAUCAAACAUAUCUAUGCGACAUGAUCUCCUUGCAUAAAUUUCACUACUCAUUACUACUGAAGACUCCUCAGACUCUGCCGAGGUGUGCCCAUAGAAGGAAGAAGAGGAACUACUAAGGGAAGACAUCACUAACUUGGAGGAAAGCGAAAUUCUCAGCACUUAGUUACUAUUUGGGAUGCAGAGAAAAGGAUUGACCUACUAUUUGGGAGGCGGAGAAAAGGAGUGGUCCCCCACUUUAAAUGCGCUCCUAUUUAUAGGAAAGGAACCACAAGGAACUCAAACAUCAUAAAAUUUUGUGACCGUUAAAUUCUAUCAUAUCCAACAACCACAAAACAAAACACUUGAAUCCUAAGGUAAGUUUAAAUUCAAAAUUCCUCCCAAACAUAGGGAACGUUUUGGAACUUACUGUAAGCUUCUUAAACAAUAUUCACUAUUCUCAUCUACCUGUUACCGAACUCUAACUUAGACAUCAAAGUACGUUUUGUAGAUAUUCCAUCCUCAUCGACCAAAAAUAAAAAAUCUCACAAUAUCAUUAAUUAUGAUAGCAACAACACGACGAGACAGAAAAAGCACCAAAAGACCUUUUUGAAAUUAAGACCUUCUAAUACAAUAAUAAACUUAAAAUUUCAUUUCGUAUUGUUCUAUCUAACAAACUUAAUAAAAUUUAGAUUUUGGUAUGUAAGAAUUAACUGGAGUUUAUAAUGAACUUAAUUAAUUGAACAAUAUAACCAUUUUAGUAUUUUAAACAGUCAUUCCAUACUUAUUCAAUUUUUUUUUAAAUAUGUGACUAUUUUUGUCAAGUAACCUUGUUACUAAUGCCAUGUAUUUAUUGACUUUGUCGAGGACUAAUUUUGGUCAAAAGAACUUAUUGACUAUUUGUAGUUGAAUUUUCCCUCUUAAGUAGAAUUAACAAAAAUGAUAGUUAUUUUUGUCUUCUAACUAAUUGAUUCAUAGUACAAAUUCUAAAAAUGUCACUUUAGGUAUAAAAGAAAGGAUGAGAAAAAAACUCAUCUAAUAUGUGUUUGGAUCUUAAAAUGAGAGUGUACCAGUAUAGAUAAAGAGGGGUCCAGAUAAUACUUGAAACUGGUAACAUAAUUGCUGACGUGUCUCCUUCAAAUCUCCUUUCCUCAAUAUUGAUGCUCAAGUCAGGGCUCUGAUUUAGGUACAUU
rnacentral:lncRNA from 1 species